UACGUAGGGUGCAAGCGUUGUCCGGAAUUAUUGGGCGUAAAGAGCUCGUAGGCGGUUUGUCGCGUCUGCUGUGAAAACUCGGGGCUUAACUCCGGGCCUGCAGUGGGUACGGGCAGACUAGAGUGCGGUAGGGAGACUGGAAUUCCUGGUGUAGCGGUGAAAUGCGCAGAUAUCAGGAGGAACACCGGUGGCGAAGGCGGGUCUCUGGGCAUGUCCUGACGCUGAGGAGCGAAAGUGUGGGGAGCGAACAGG
rnacentral:rRNA from 1 species